rnacentral:lncRNA from 1 species
UGUGGCGAACAAAGAGCAGAGAGGCACGGAAACCCACCGUACCAAGCAUGAGAAAGAAGCCAUAGCAUAUGCAAGCCAUGUACCCGAAGAAGAAAGAGGUUUGCAUGAAGCCAGACAUAUCUGACCGGGCAUAAUAGUAAUACAAGCAGUAAGCAUAGAUGAAUAGGCCAGUUGAUCCACCACAGAGAAAAGACCUGUGAAAAUGAAAACCAAGUUCCUCAGAAAGCGGUUUUUCCAAGAUAACAAAUGAGAAAUUUCCUAGCUUCAUCCCAGUUUUUCACAUGAAUCUCCAUAAAAAAUUUUUUAUGCAAGACUAUCAAUCUUCCACUAAGAUUGACCAAGAAUUUGAUGAUGCUAAAUUUUACAGCUAACUAUAACUAAUAUUUCAGGUAGAAGCAAAACAAGAGACAACAGAAAAUGUGGAAUUUCUUUUAGCAAAAGGUAGGCAGAUAGAGAACUACAAGACAAAAUCAUGAACAGGGGCCAAACUUUUAAUAGUGAAGCAAACAAAGGGGAUAAAUCUGAAUGCAAAAACUUAUGUACCUCCACCACCAUUCAUGAUCUUCAGCAGCAAGUUGGAAGUAUGUCAAGGCAACAGUUAUGAAAGCCGUGACAACCAGAAGAAUAAUGAAGACAAUAAACAGGAUGCUGUAGAUGGUGUAAAUCCUGUGACCCCAAACACUGGCAAAUAUGUAGUAAAGCUCAAUGUAGAUGGCACUAAAAGGCAGAAAACCAGCCAUUGCCAUCUGAGGAAGAGCACUCCUGUACCAUGGCAAUAUUGGGAUCUCCCGGGGAUAUUUUGUGGUUCGACAAGGGGCUUGAAACUCAGCCUUGCUAUUUUUGCCAGCAAUACCACCCAACACGAGUAAUGGAGAUGUUACCAGCGUCCAUAUAAGGACAAUUACCACAAUAGUGCCAAAAGGCAAUGCAGCAGUCGCACUGUAAAUUAUGGCAACAGUGUUCAGGAAGCAGAAUGUGAGGAACAGAGGUCCACAGAAAAGGCAUCCUGUCAGCAAAAGAUUCCUGACCUGUCAACACAGAAAUAGAAACUUCAUUUUGAAAAUCUAGCUCUUGAAAUAAUCACAUUGAAAUAACUCAGUUGCAAACAAAAGCCAUAAAAGCAUACCCAGUUCUUUCCUUCCAGCUGACAAUAUAAAGAGGUUGCAGUAUAUCCAGCAAUUCCGGAAGUAAGUGCAUAAAUAACCACCAGUGCAGUAAACAGAGCUCCUCGAUUGUAUGGAUAAAAUACGCCAACCAAGGCAAGCAUAAAAAUAAAGACAGUACUGGAUGCACAUAACAAAUUUGAUGACAGACAUUAAAGAAAAUAUAACCAGGAAUGAGCAGCAUAAUAAAAUUGAGUAACAAGAAUUAGAAUAUAACUUGUAACAAGUUACUUACAGUGUAAACAACUGGGUGCCAGAACCAAGGGCAGCAGCAAACAAAGAUUUGUACUUUGGGUACCUAAAUACAUCACCAUGGAUGUACUUCCAUCCAGUCUCUUCCUGGUCAUCAGCAGCUUCCUCAUCUUGAGCAUACCUUGAAGAAAUACAAUAUGUAUAAGAACAAUAUUCAUAAAUAUAAAUAUGAACUGAACAAUUUUCAAAAUAAAGCUUACUUCAUGAAGUCAUUCUUCAAGACCCGCAUGAGAAUUGUAGCAAGAAAACCAGUUAAAAGGAGAACUGUCACACAAGAGUUUAUAAUUGAGAACCAAUGGAUCUCCAAGUGAUGUGGCAGUGAAGAAGACAGGGAGUACUUCUCCAUUCUCUUCUCGAAGGGAGUAUCUGUUUCCUUCCAUUUCACAGUAUAAAGAAACUCUGCAUUAACUCCCUUGUCCUCUGUCAGAUCCAACAGUGAAUGAGGAUCCAUCCGGGUACUUACUUCAAUCACACGGUCCUUGUUAUAAAGAACAUCAAACUGGAUAUGCUUGUAAAGGAAGUACUUGUAUUCACUUGGGUCAGCUUUGCCUUCCUUGUCAACCUUUCCUAUGAAACCCCAAAUUGGCAAAUCAUCAUAGUACAUCUGGAAGUAAUAGUCUUUGUCAACUGCAGAUCGGAAUUGUGCAACUUCCUCCUUCGUAAGCUUCUUCCGGCAAACAACUGCUGUGUCCUUCUCAUCUCUAAAGUUGAGUUUGUAAGGAGCACUGACCAAACGAUCUCCAUUCAACACCUCACCAAGAGCUUCUGUUUUCUCUUUCAGGUGUUCUGCCAUUAAAAUUCACUCAAACAUCAAAAAAGAGAAAUGGGCAAAAUUCUCACAUCCAAACAAAAUUUCAUCCUUAAGGUUCAAAAUUCUUGCAAUGCUCUCCUUUCUAGCUUCAAAAUCAAUUAUUGAACAUGCGAACAAAUAUAAUGUCUAUCGCAUUUGAAUUAAGUGGAGUGCAGCACAUAUAGCACACAUUAAAACUUCCUAAACAUCUAUUUUCUUCCUGUCUUUUUAUAUGUCCACUCUAAACAAGUAGCUUAUUCAACAAGUUUCCAAUGUUGCAUUUGGAAAGGUUUCCUUGAGAAUAAACAAAAAAUUAGCCAAAAAAAACAUAAAUAAAAGUACAUGUACAAAAAGAAAAUCCGCUAUAAAUAGAAGAUAAAGCACAAGCAGAGACAACAACCUGGAACACAGAAGGGCAGAUCGAAAUAGCGAUACGUUUCACUGAAAUUUCAGACAAUCAGAAAACACAGAAAUUAUCAGCAACCCAAAAGUGAGAGUAAGAUAAAUAAGCAGAAUAGUCACAAUCUAGCCCAAUACUUAAUUAAAUACACCAGUAAUAAAAAUAUAUAAAUAUACAAAAGGGGAAAAAGGGCAAAUAAAAACUUCAUACUCUGCAUCGAUCUCCGAAACUCAAUUCAUAAGAUACGUUUGGUAUCGCCAUUUCUAUUGAUUUUCCAAAUUUCAAAACCCCUUUCCACGCUGUGUCUCAUUCCCUAAUUUCUACUUUUUAAUGGAUAAAUAUUGAAAAUACAUCCAAAUAGAACACUAUUGAAAAAUGAAAAAUGCCAGACAAAAAAUCAGAUCUAGGAAAUGAAAUUGAAGGAAUUACCUGGGGUUGUGAAAGGGGCCGACCUUAUUGGCGUAAAGGGGAACAGAAUCGCCGUCCUUGUAGCGGUGAUCGGAGGCGUCCGAUUUGACGUGAGUUACAGAAAAGGAGACUAGAAGCGCGAGAAGGAGAAUUGCAGAAGGAAUUUUCAUGCUUCUUGUUUCUUCACUUGUUUCUCUUGCAGGUAGUGAAAUGGAUGAAGCCAACAAGAGGAUUUACAUAGUUUUUCUUUCCCUUUUUUUCAGUAAAUUUAUUUUUUUUAUUUCUGUAGAAGGUCAAUAUAAUUAAUAAAAUUCAAUUAACAAGCAAGAAAAUUAAUUAGUUAAUUAAUUAAUUAAUGGGACUUCGAAAUAACGUACAGUUUCUUGAUAAAAAUAACGUACAAUUACUUCAUUACAAAAAUAAAUUAAAAUUUAUGAAACUUUAAAUUUUAUUUUUUAAAAAAUUUAUAAAUAAAUAAAUUAUUUUUACAUAUUCUUUUAUUUUUUAAUGAAAAAAUUAUUAUAUUAAUAAAAAUAGAAGUGACGUUUUUAAUAAAUACAAAACAUUGUAAGGUUCUAAUUUUAAAAUAUAAAGAUAAUGAUAUAUUUUUGCAAAUAAUAUAAUAAAAUAUUAGUUUAAUUCAUAAUAAUGGUAUUUUUUUACUAUUAAAACUAAGUAACUAAAUAAAAUAUUCAUUUAAUCUAACUUUUCUAUAUUCACUUGUAAAAAAUUAUAUUUAUAUAUUUAAAAAUUAUUUUUUUAAUAUAUUUCUUAUAAAAACAUUAUUUAAAAAUAUCACUUGACAUAAAUUUUAUGAUACAAAAUAUUAAUUUUAAUAAUACUUAAUGUGUUUUCAUAAAUAAAAUUAUUUUACUUUAUUUCAAAUCAAACAAAUAGAAACUCUAUUAAUUAUUAUAUUAUAAUUAAUGAUAAAAUAAGUUCUUUAUUUAUUUUAGAAUAUAUGUUAUUUAAUAAUAAUUAUUUAUGAAUCUCUUAAUUAAAAUAUAAAAUUUAAUAAGUUUGAGAACAAUUGAUAAUGUAAAUUAAAUUAUUUAAUUGUUAAUAUAGUCUUAUAAAAAAAAGUAUUUUUUUAAAUUUUAUUGUGCUAAAUGUAUUAAAUAUAUUUAAGAGAUUUAUUAUUUAAUCUCUAAAUAUUAUUAACAAGUCAAUCUCGCGCUUUUGAAAAAUUUAUUAAAAUAUUUUUAUUUUUUAAGUCAACGAAAUAAUUUUUUCAUCCAAUUUGAUGUAUGCUGGCUGUAUAUGGAACAGUACAAGAAUUUUUUUCACUGGCACAUAAAUUUCCCUCACAAAAAUGCCAAUAAAUUCCAUACUUCUCAGAAGUUUCUCAAGGCCAUCAGCAAAGACUCCCUCAGGAAAGUCAUGGCCGAGUUCUAUGUUUGCUUGGUUUGCUUCUGAUAACCAUUGUAAUCUUCUGCCUAAGCUUCUGAUAAAAAAAAAUCAUAGAUCUUUCUAUUGCAGAGUACACGAUAGCGAUCGAGGAAGAAUCAGCCUACUACUCACACUUAAUGGACCUGUAUAUGUGGCGAACAAAGAACAGUGCGGCUCGGAAACCCACUGUCCCUAGCAUCAGAAAGAAGCCAUAGCAUAUGCAGGCCAUGUAGCCGAAGAAGAAAGAGGUUUGCAUGAAGCCAGACAUAUCAGACCGCGCAUAGUAAUAAUAAAAGCAGUAGGCGUAGAUAAACAGUCCGGUUGAUCCACCGCAGAGAAAAGAUCUGUGACACUCAAAACCAAGUUCAGUUCGUUAAAGUGUCUUUGCAUAGGAUAUCAAAAGAAAACAUAACAGGUUAACUCGCUACCAUAUCAAAUUAUGAAUUCACAGUUGAGCAAAAACAAGUAGAAGGUUGAUAUAGUGACAGAAUAAAGUCAUAAUCAAGGACAUGAUUGUCUGAAUAGUGAGCUAUAUGAUUUUGAAAGUAGGUUGCGGUGGAUAUAUGCUAUUCUACAGGAAUGCAAUAAGCUUCAUCAACCCAACAGGCCAAAAGAAGGCCUGAAACACAGAUUUCAGUCAAUUAGAACCAAAAAACAAGCCUCAUCAGCCACAGCAAGUACACGUAAUUUUCACAAGGGACUUAACAAUUCAUAAAAAAAAUUUCCCAUGUGAAGUCUACAGAAUGCAAUGCCAUUCAUUUAUGUGUCCCUGACUUGGGUGAUGGCUGUCCUCAUGCAAUAUAAUUAAUGCAAACUUUAAGAUCCAUUUGAAACAUUCUUUUUCUCCCAUCCUUUACAAUUUCAGAUCUCAAUCUAUAUAAAUUAAAAAAAAAAGUUCAAAUUUUUAAUUUCAAAUUCCAUAUUCUAAAAGAAAUCUUACACUGAAUAUUAAGAGUUUAA